rnacentral:pre_miRNA from 15 species
UAAGCAUCACAGUCAAAUGCUCAAAUAUUAGUGGUGACUAUUCAUGCAACAUGGUCAUCUGAGCAUAUGAUGUCAGGUCUU